UGGGGAAUUUUGGACAAUGGGCGAAAGCCUGAUCCAGCAAUGCCGCGUGUGUGAAGAAGGCCUUCGGGUUGUAAGCACUUUUGCCCGGAAAGAAAUCCUUGGCUCUAAUACAGUCGGGGGAUGACGGUACCGGAAGAAUAAGCACCGGCUAACUACGUGCCAGCAGCCGCGGUAAUACGUAGGGUGCAAGCGUUAAUCGGAAUUACUGGGCGUAAAGCGUGCGCAGGCGGUUUGCUAAGACCGAUGUGAAAUCCCCGGGCUCAACCUGGGAACUGCAUUGGUGACUGGGCAGGCUAGAGUAUGGCAGAGGGGGGUAGAAUUCCACGUGUAGCAGUGAAAUGCGUAGAGAUGUGGAGGAAUACCGAUGGCGAAGGCAGCCCCCUGGGCCAAUACUGACGCUCAUGCACGAAAGCGUGGGGAGCAAACAGGAUUAGAUACCCUGGUAGUCCACGCCCUAAAACGAUGUCAACUAGUUGUUGGGGAUUCAUUUCCUUAGUAACGUAGCUAACGCGUGAAGUUGACCGCCUGGGGAGUACGGUCGCAAGAUUAAAACUUAAAUGAAUUGACGGGGUCAUAGCUGUUUCC
rnacentral:rRNA from 1 species